GUUUGUCUGUCACCGUCACACAUAGGAAUUGAAAGAAAAAAAAAAUGAAAAGCGAAAAAGCACGCAUCCCAUCAGAAUCACAAAGAAUAAAGAGAAGAAAUUUUGAAGAAACAGCAAAGGAAGUUUCUAUUUUGAUGCUUCUUUUUUACUAUCUUCAAUCACCUACCACUCAUGCCUUGUUUAUUAAUCCCACAACAACAUCAUUUCCUUCCUCUCAUGUUUUCUCCUUUUCCCUCCAACAACUCCACUCUACUUUCCCUUCCUUGCCGUCACAUUCUCUUUUUUCCCCCAUGUUUUGUGUUUCGUGUUGUUGCUCGUUUCAAAAGUUUCUUUUUUGA